AUUGCACGCUGGCGGCAGGCCUAACACAUGCAAGUCGAGCGAGCGGCGGACGGGUGAGUACUGUCUGGGAAACUGCCUGAUGGAGGGGGCUAACGACUGGAAACGCUAGAUACUACUCCAUACCAUCUGCUCUGCCACGAGGGGAUUGGCUAGUGGGUGGGGUAACGGCGCACCUCGGCGACGAUCCCUAGCUGGUCUGAGAGGAUGACCAGCCACACUGGAACUGAGACAAGGUCCAGACUCCUACGGGAGGCAGCAGUGGGGAAUAUUGCACAAUGGGCGCAAGCCUGAUGCAGCCAUGCCGCGUGUGUGAAGAAGGCCUUCGGGUUGUAAAGCACUUUAAGCGGGGAGGCGUUACCCGCAGAAGAAGCACCGGCUAACUCCGUGCCAGCCGCCGCGGUAAUAC
rnacentral:rRNA from 1 species